UACGAAGGGGGCUAGCGUUGCUCGGAAUCACUGGGCGUAAAGCGCACGUAGGCGGGUCGUUAAGUCGGGGGUGAAAUCCUGGAGCUCAACUCCAGAACUGCCUUCGAUACUGGCGAUCUUGAGUCUGGGAGAGGUGAGUGGAACUCCGAGUGUAGAGGUGAAAUUCGUAGAUAUUCGGAAGAACACCAGUGGCGAAGGCGGCUCACAGGCCCGGUACUGACGCUGAGGUGCGAAAGCGUGGGGAGCAAACAGG
rnacentral:rRNA from 1 species